AACGAACGCUGGCGGCAGGCUUAACACAUGCAAGUCGAGCGCCCCGCAAGGGGAGCGGCAGACGGGUGAGUAACGCGUGGGAAUCUACCCAUCUCUACGGAAUAACGCAUGGAAACGUGUGCUAAUACCGUAUACGUCCUUCGGGAGAAAGAUUUAUCGGAGAUGGAUGAGCACGCGUUGGAUUAGCUAGUUGGUGGGGUAAAGGCCUACCAAGGCGACGAUCCAUAGCUGGUCUGAGAGGAUGAUCAGCCACACUGGGACUGAGACACGGCCCAGACUCCUACGGGAGGCAGCAGUGGGGAAUAUUGGACAAUGGGCGCAAGCCUGAUCCGGCCAUGCCGCGUGAGUGGUGAAGGCCCUAGGGUUGUAAAGCUCUUUCACCGGUGAAGAUAAUGACGGUAACCGGAGAAGAAGCCCCGGCUAACUUCGUGCCAGCCGCCGCAGUAAUAC
rnacentral:rRNA from 1 species